UAUUUUAAUGGCCGCAGUAAUUUAACUGUGCAAAGGUAGCAUAAUCAGUAGUCUUUUAAUUGAAGGCUGGAAUGAACGGUUGGACGAAGUAUUAACUGUUUCAUAUGAAUUUAUUAUAGAAUUUUAUAUUUUAGUAAAAAAGCUAAAAUUUUGUUAAAAGACGAGAAGACCCUAUAAAUCUUUAUAAUUAUUAAUUAUCUAAUUUUUUUGAUGAGGUUUAUUUUUUUAUUAAUAAUUAUUUUAUUGGGGUGAUAUUAAAAUUUAAUUAACUUUUAAUUGUUGUAAUUCAUUUAUUUAUGUUUUAAUGAUCCAUUAAUAGUGAUUAAAAGAGUAAGUUACUUUAGGGAUAACAGCGUAAUUUUUUUGGAGAGUUCUUAUCGAUAAUAAAGUUUGCGACCUCGAUG
rnacentral:rRNA from 1 species